AACGAACGCUGGCGGCAGGCUUAACACAUGCAAGUCGAGCGCCCCGCGAGGGGAGCGGCAGACGGGUGAGUAACGCGUGGGAACGUACCUUUUGGUUCGGAACAACUCCGGGAAACUGGCGCUAAUACCGGAUAAGCCCUAACGGGGAAAGAUUUAUCGCCGAAAGAGCGGCCCGCGUCUGAUUAGCUAGUUGGUGAGGUAACGGCUCACCAAGGCGACGAUCAGUAGCUGGUCUGAGAGGAUGAUCAGCCACACUGGGACUGAGACACGGCCCAGACUCCUACGGGAGGCAGCAGUGGGGAAUAUUGGAAAAUGGGCGCAAGCCUGAUCCAGCCAUGCCGCGUGAGUGAUGAAGGCCUUAGGGUUGUAAAGCUCUUUUGUCCGGGAAGAUAAUGACUGUACCGGAAGAAUAAGCCCCGGCUAACUUCGUG
rnacentral:rRNA from 1 species